rnacentral:rRNA from 1 species
UACGUAGGGGGCAAGCGUUGUCCGGAUUUAUUGGGCGUAAAGAGCGUGUAGGCGGCCAGACAGGUCAGCUGUGAAAACUCGAGGCUCAACCUCGAGACGUCGGUUGAAACCGUCUGGCUAGAGUCCGGAGGAGGAGAGUGGAAUUCCCGGUGUAGCGGUGAAAUGCGCAGAUAUCGGGAAGAACACCCGUGGCGAAGGCGGCUCUCUGGGACGGUACUGACGCUGAGACGCGAAAGCGUGGGGAGCGAACAGG